CACAACAGAAAUUCUGACUUGACCAAUUUUAUAUUCUGAAAAGAUCAUGCUACUCUUGUACAUUUAUCCCAGGCAGACAGAAACACACAAAAACCAAAGUUCAUGGCAGUUUUAUUCAUAAUAACCAAAAACUAGAAACAACCCAACUAUCCUUCAAUGAGUGAAUGGUUAAACUGUAGUACAGCAAUACCAUGGAAUACUGCUUGGCACUCAAAGUAAUGAACUCUUGAUAUGUACAACAAGUUGGAUUAAUAACAAAGGUAUUACACUGAGUAAAAAAGCCAAUCUCAAGAUUACAUGCUUAAUUAUUUCAUUUAUAUAGAAUUAUUGAAAUGACAAAAUGAUAGAGAACAGAUUGAUGGUUAUAAGAGAAUAGGGAGUGGGGAAGAGAGAGUUAACUGUGCCUAUAAAAGGGUAGCCCAAGAUAUUCUUAUGAUGUAACGCUUCUGUAUCUUGACUUUGGUGGUGACCAUAUAAAUUUAUACAUAACAGCACAAAAGCAUGAAACUAAAUACACACACGUACAUGAGUGCAUGUAAAAACGAGUGAAAUCUGAGUAAAAUGGAUGACUUGUACCAAUGUCAGUUUCCUGAUUGGGACAUUAUACCAUACUUAUGUAAGUUAUUAUACUGGGCCAAACUGGGUGUCUUUCUGUAUUAAAUAUUACAAUUGCAUGAUAAACAGUAAUAAUCUCGAAAUUAAAAGUUUAGAAAAAAGAUCAAGCCAGUUUUAUUGUAAACAGAAGGAGCAAAAGUAUGGAGGCUACUAUAGUAGAACAGACAAGACAUAAAUUAGGGUAGUGACAAUGGGAAGGAAAGAAAAAUGGAUGGAACUGAGAUAAUUCAGAAGUAAAAUAUACAGGAUUUUCUUACGGAUUGAAUGUGGGAGAUGAAGGAGAAAGAGGUGGCAACUAUAACACUGGUUCCGUUUUUAUGCUUAUAAAACAAUAUGGAGGAUGGUGCCACUCAUGGUUGUAUGAAACAACAGCAGAGAACUAGGGUAGAGGGAAGAUUAUAAGAUCUGUUUUUGAGAUGUCUAGUGUGAGAUGUUUUUGAUAAAGAUAAGUGAGCACACUAAGUAGGCAGAUGACUAUAUACAACUGGAAUUCAGAAGUAAAGUGAAGGCAAAUGAAGCUGUUGGCAUGGAUGAUAGUUUUUGCCUCGAGACGGGGUUAGAAUGAGAAGAAGACCCAAACUGGGACUUGAAAAACUCUUAAUAUUUAAUCAGCUGGUAGAGAAAAGUGAGGCUGUGAGUAUCUGCAGAAAGAACAGCUAGGAGGUCACAGGAAAAUUAGAAAACCUUGGCACAGAAGCCAAGAGAAGAAAGCAUUUCAAAGAGAGUGAUCAGUAGUGACCACUGAGAAGUCAAAUAAGUUAAGGACUGAAAAAUAUGUAAUUUAAUAUAUUAGUCUAGAGGUUAUCGUUGACCUUAACAAAAGGUGGUUUGUUCAAGAGGUAGAAGCAGUAACCUGUUCAUAAUGGAGUAAGAAGAGAGUAAGAAGUGAAGAAACAGAGACAGCAAAUGUGGAUAAGUCUUAGAAGUUUUACUGUAAAGAAAAAGAAAAUGAGCCAGUAUAAUAUCUUAAGAAUGGGGGCGUGAGGUCAAAAGUUUUGGGAAAAAGUGGAAACACUGGCAUUCUUAAAUGCUUGAGGAGGAUACAGUAGAGAGGGGCAAGAGAAGAGGGUCGGGUGAUUGGUGGUGAAAGAUUCCUGAUAAGGACAGAGACAUGGAACCCUGAGCACAAAUGGAAGGAUAGAAGGAAGGACGUCUCUUCUAUAAUUACAAGAAAGUAGAAAGAAAAGCAGUGAUCAGUGUGAGCCACGUGUAGCUUUGUUACUGAGGGGUUUGAGAGGUUUUCCAAAUGAUGGCUUCUAGGGUGCAAGAUCCUGCUAAGAAUAAGUAAGGAGGAGAUUUGAAAAAAGUAGAGGUUUAAAAUAGUUCUUGGAACAAAUAGGAUGGUAGGUGAACCAGAAAAACAGUAGGAUCCUCCUCAGCAGUGUGGAAGGUCUAGGUGAGUCUGGUGAGUUAAUUUGGUACCUGUCUAUCUUAUGUGAUUUUCUCCAGCAGGUCAGUGACCAAGGUGGAAACUCAGAGGAGAUGUGCAUCUGAGUUCAAAUUAGGGUGGAUUUUUACUUAAUGUCUAUAAAAAGAUAUUAGGUUUUUAGCUUCUUUUUGGUUCUAUUGGCAGCCAGAAUGAAAAGGCAGUAAAAGGGCUCAAUUCAAUUUCUUAAGCAUCUGGUGAGCACCUACCUUGAACCAGGCACUGUGUUUCGAAACAGAGGGGCGGGUGGGGGUGAGUGAUUGGGGGGAACAGUCUAGCAAAGUUUCAAAUCUUCCAUCUAAUCCAAAAGGCCAGGAAUAGGUGAUUAGAUAACCUUUGCCAAAAGUUACGGAAACUCAUGUCCUUACUUUUCCUUCCUCUGCCUGCUCCUUCCUCCCAUCCUGAUUACCCAGUUAUUUUCUUUCUUUCUCACACAAUAUCUGCUGUCUGCCUUAUUGACAAGCUUCUAAUAUUCAUCAUGCAUAUAUGAGUGACAGUUCUGAUUUCUCCCAUCAUCAUUUUGCUAAACUAUGAUCAUCUAGGAACAAUUAGAUCAUCUACUUGAAGUGUGAAAUUGGUACCACAUGAAUUUUCUUUACAUUAUAAGAGCUUCUAUCUAUACAAAAGGCUAUUUAUUUAGAAGAGGGAUGGAUAGAGGAAGAGAGGGUAGGUUAGAGAAAAGAAAGAAAGCAAAGAAGAAGAUCCUAUGUAGCAGCUCACCCUUGUUAUUCAAGGGAAUUCCCACUUGAAUAGAUGGGCCUCCAUUCCUAAUGGUGGCCUAUACCGCCAGCCUCCAAAACAGCUUCCAAACCUGGAGACAUUCCACAGAACUAUAGAUUAGCUAAAUUCCAGCUUCUGGAAAUGUAAGACAAGACAGAAAGAAGACCUAAAGAAUAUGGAAAUUCCUAAUCUCCAACAGCAGUAGAAUUCCUCACUCAGAUUUAUUCUAAUUGUUAUAAAAUGGUGGCUUACAAAGAGGUGUGGCAAUGACAGCUUCCCUUUAUUUGAACACAUUCCAUUCUGCUAGAUUGCCUUUAGGAAAUGACAUUAGGGCCAUUCGACUUAAACUAAAUUGCACAUACAUCUGGGGUAAAAUUUGGCAGCUGUUGAGCAAAGCAGCUGUAUUUUUUUUUUUAAUAUUUACUUCUUUCAUGAUUCUAUAAUUCACUCUUAUUGUAAAAUAUUAAGAAAGUAUAGAAUAUGGAGAAAACAUUCAUAAUCCCACUAAACAGAAAAAAAGCUUUUAUUAACAGUUUUUUAGAUCACCUUGUAUCUUUUCUCUGAAUUUUAACUUAAUUGAGCAUACAUUGUAUGUAUAGGAUUUUUCUUAUUUUUUUUACUAAAUAUUAUACAAGUGCUUCCCAGCUUAUUACAUACUCUCUAUAUAUGCCACCAUAUAUUUGAAUAAUUUUCUAUUAUAUAAAACCCCCAGAACUUUCUUAACUAUGUCCUAGAUUUCUUUUUUUUUUUUUUUUUUGGCUUUUUCCAGGACACACCUGCAGCAUAUGCAGGUUCCCAGGCUAGGGGUCCAAUCGGAGCUGUAGCUGCCAGCCUGCGCCAGAGCCACAGCAAUGUCAGAUCCGAGCUGCACCUGCAACCUACACCACAGCUCGCAGCAACGCCAGUUCCUUAACCCACUGAGCAAGGCCAGGGAUCAAACCAGCAACCUCAUGGUUCAUGGUCGGAUUCGUUAACCACUGAGCCACGACGGGAACUCCUAAAGUUAAAAUUCUAAUUUUUACUUCUAAAAAGUAUACUUUUAGUUUUGUUUGAAUUUGUUACAUGAUGAUGAAGAAGAAAAAAAUCUAUUCAAAAUUUCACCGCUCAGAGAUAACUACUGGUAACAUUUUGGGAAAUGUAUUUCCAAACAUAUCUAUUUAUCUGUUUCUUUGUCUUUGUCUUUCUCUUUCCAAAAUAAGAGGAAAAUCUACUUACUGUUUUGUUAUCUGCUAUAAUGUUAUUAUAGUGUAUUUCAUAUUAAUAAAUAUAGAUCUACCUUAUCUUUUUGACAGCUACCUUGUAUGGCAGUAUAUGGGUAAUUUAUUGAAUAAGUCACUUACUGAUGGACAUUUAGGAUAUUUGGAAAUUUUUUCUUACUAAGCAAUCCUGCAAUAACUAUCUCUAUACGUAUAUGCAUUUUUUUAGAAAAUCCAUUUGUGUGAUUAUUUCCUUAGGAUAAAUUGCUCAGGGUGGAACUGACAAAGCAAAAUUUAUCUACUGCUAAACUGACCUCCUAUAAAGUUGUAUCACUAUAUAUAUCCCACCAGCAAAGACAGAGUCUGCCCAUUUCUCUGCAUCUUCACUAAUCCUGUAAUUGUCAACUGUACUUUUUGCCAUCUAAGUGAGUAUUUUCAUAUUAGAGGUACAAGAUGCUUUUUCCAAGCAUAUAACCAAACCUGAAAACUUAAGGAAAAAUAUAUUAAGAGUUCCUUUUGUGGCUCAAUGGGUUCAGAACCCAACUAGUAUCCAUGGGGAUGAGGGUUCAAUCCCUGGCUUCACUCAGUGGGUUAAGGAUCUGGUGUUGCUAUGGCUGUGGCAUAGGCCAGUGGCUACGGCUCCAAUCACCCCCUAGCCUGGGAACUUCCAUAUGCUGCAGGCGCAGCCCU
rnacentral:lncRNA from 1 species